GAAUCGCUAGUAAUCGUGGAUCAGCAUGCCGCGGUGAAUACGUUCCCGGGCCUUGUACACACCGCCCGUCACACCACGAGAGUUGGCAACACCCGAAGUCGGUGAGGUAACCUUUUUGGAGCCAGCCGCCGAAGGUGGGGCCAAUGAUUGGGGUGAAGUCGUAACAAGGUAGCCGUAUCGGAAGGUGCGGCUGGAUCACCUC
rnacentral:rRNA from 1 species